UACGGAGGGUGCAAGCGUUAUCCGGAAUCACUGGGUUUAAAGGGUGCGUAGGCGGCUUGAUAAGUCAGGGGUGAAAGCCCGCAGCUUAACUGCGGAACUGCCUUUGAUACUGUCGAGCUUGAAAGAGGUUGAGGUCAGCGGAACGUGACAUGUAGCGGUGAAAUGCAUAGAUAUGUCUCAGAACACCGAUUGCGAAGGCAGCUGGCUGGACCUACUUUGACGCUUAGGCCCGAAAGCGUGGGGAGCGAACAGG
rnacentral:rRNA from 1 species